AUGAUUUAUGUUGACUUCACAAAUGGAGAACUCGACUACUUAAUUAGUUUUACAUCACAAGGAACCUCUUGUUACAUUUUCUGUUGUCUUCUGCAAAAUACUGGAAUUAGUUGUCUGCUUUUAAAUCAUUAUCUGUAUUAUCGCUUGGUUUUGCAAAUCAUUAGCAGGUCAACACAUAUGUUUCUCCUUGGUCCUCCUAACACAAUAGUAUGGAAGUGCUCCUACAUCCUCACUUCUUGCAUAUUUGAUGUAUGGAUGGUGCUUGUGUGGUGGUGGCGUACCCUGUUCUUGUGCGGGUAUAUAUUGUCAAUUAAAUGA
rnacentral:rRNA from 1 species